rnacentral:lncRNA from 1 species
GCUGCUUCAAGAUGAAGGUAGGUGAUGGUGGCGAGUGUUAGACUGGGUUUGGGGAACGUGAAUCGAGUCCCAGAACGCGGCAUUGCCUCAGUUCCAGCACUCCAGGAUCCUGGCUUUAGGUGGAGAAGGGUCUCAAGUAGGAGAAGGCUCGCCUUUCUGGGGCAUGGAGCUUUUUGGCCGAACGGAUGGCAGGCGAUUGCGGCUGGAGCCGCGGCGGGCCGGGAGCGCCAUGGUGGCGUCCCCGCGCCCAGCCGGGACGGAUGCGGCGUGUUGCCCAGUUUGCGGCAGGCCUGUGGUGCGGCUCUUGACCCCGGCUUUCUUGCUUCGGGAGGGUGAACGGCUGCGGAGUGCCCUCGCCCCCAGAGUCAUUCCGCGGGGCUUGAGGGGAAAACGUCCUGCUGAGUGCGGCGCUUCUUGACUGCUACUCUGCUUUCACGUGCUUUUACUGAACAUCUCCUUCCCAGCCACUGGCUGCCAGAAACUCAUUGAAGUGGACGAUGAACGCAAACUUCGUACUUUCUAUGAGAAGCGUAUGGCCACAGAAGUUGCUGCUGACGCUCUGGGUGAAGAAUGGAAGGGUUAUGUGGUCCGAAUCAGUGGUGGGAACGACAAACAAGGUUUCCCCAUGAAGCAGGGUGUCUUGACCCAUGGCCGUGUCCGCCUGCUACUGAGUAAGGGGCAUUCCUGUUACAGACCAAGGAGAACUGGAGAAAGAAAGAGAA